rnacentral:tRNA from 1 species
GGUCGUGUAGCUCAGUGGUAGAGCGUCGCGUUCACAUCGCGAAGGUCACUGGUUCGAGUCCAGCCACGACCACCA